rnacentral:rRNA from 1 species
GUCCUCUUGUUUAUAUAUGAGGUCAGACCUGCCCGGUGAAUUUUAUUUUAACGGCCGCGGUAUUUUGACCGUGCAAAGGUAGCAUAAUCAUUAGUCUUUUAAUAGGAGGCUGGAAUGAAGGGUUUGACGAGGUGUUGGCUGUCUCAUUUAAUUUGAAAUUAAAAUUUAACUUUUCAGUUAAAAGGCUGAAAUUAUAUUGGAAGACGAGAAGACCCUAUAGAGCUUUAUAGUUACAGUUUUAAUUAAUUAUUGUUUAAUCAUUAUUUUUUAUAAUUAUACCUAUUUUGUUGGGGUGACAAAAAUAUAAAAGUAACUUUUUUAUUUAGUGUUCAUUGAUUUAUGAACUUUAGAUCCAAUUUUAUUGAUUGUUAGAAUAAGUUACCUUAGGGAUAACAGCGUAAUCUUCCUUCAGAGUUCAUAUUUACAGGAAGGAUUGCGACCUCGAUGUUGGAUUAAGAUAAUAAUUAGGUGUAGCCGCUUAAUUUAUAGGUCUGUUCGACCUUUAAACUCUU